UGUGCUAGGUGCCUGGGUUUUGGUGGCAUGUGUUUGUAGCCUUUUGAACUUUGACGCACUAAUAAAAGAAAAGGACUAAAGAGACCACAGAGAAAUUAAGAGACAAACAUAUAUAUGGCUGCGUAUAUAUUGUGAUAUUCACUCACAGAUCUCUUCCACAAGGCAAGUCUGGCAAGAUGAGGUUUGACGUCAGGAGAGGCCUCCUCCCUGUUUUUCUUAUACUUACCAUCCUAUUUGUUGCAUCAAGCUUGUUUUCCACCGAUGACAAGAUGGAGAAGUUAACUUACGCAAGAGAGAGCCAAAAAUUGUCUCGAGUUGUCAUUGUAAAACAAAGGAACAGCCCAACUAUCCGCUUUGCAAAACUAGCGAAAGGACGAAUUUUUGAAUCACCGCCACCACCCCCGGGAGGGAACAGAGGGUCACACCCCUAAUAUGUAUUCCUUGUACUUCAUGUUUUAGUCAUCUCUCUCUUAAUAAUUCAACAGUCAGAGAAGAGAGAGGAUUUGAAUCCUAAAUGUUUCUAUUAAGAACAUCAAAAGUUGUUAUAUAGUUGAAUAAUGAGGCUCUUGAUCUCA